AUUGAACGCUGGCGGCAGGCCUAACACAUGCAAGUCGAGCGGAUGAGUGGAGCUUGCUCCAUGAUUCAGCGGCGGACGGGUGAGUAAUGCCUAGGAAUCUGCCUGGUAGUGGGGGACAACGUUUCGAAAGGAACGCUAAUACCGCAUACGUCCUACGGGAGAAAGCAGGGGACCUUCGGGCCUUGCGCUAUCAGAUGAGCCUAGGUCGGAUUAGCUAGUAGGUGAGGUAAUGGCUCACCUAGGCGACGAUCCGUAACUGGUCUGAGAGGAUGAUCAGUCACACUGGAACUGAGACACGGUCCAGACUCCUACGGGAGGCAGCAGUGGGGAAUAUUGGACAAUGGGCGAAAGCCUGAUCCAGCCAUGCCGCGUGUGUGAAGAAGGUCUUCGGAUUGUAAAGCACUUUAAGUUGGGAGGAAGGGUAGUAACCUAAUACGUUGCUACUUUGACGUUACCGACAGAAUAAG
rnacentral:rRNA from 1 species